CGCACAUUGCGCCCUUUGGCAUUCCAAAGGGCAUGCCUGUCUGAGCGUCAGUUAACCUCUUCUCUUUCAUUGAUUGUUACGAUCAAAUUGAAUAGAGAGCGACUGAGCGUGAAUGUGAAACAAUCAUUCUCGUUUGAAAUGAAUGGCUGAAUGACCUGUAUUGAACGUCAAGUUCAAUGCUUGGAAACAAUUCGUUUUUUUGCCAGAUGGUAAUAAGAUAGCGUCUCUACACCCUUUGGAAACGAAAGGAAUGAGCACUUGUCAAUAUUUCAUCGACAUGCGAAAAUCAUGAAUAGAGCCACAAAACUUCUUUUUUUUGGUUCGUUGAUUCGACCAAAAAGAGAGAAAACUUGAAAAUUUUGGCCUCAGAUCAGGUAGGAUGACCCGCUGAACUUAA
rnacentral:misc_RNA from 1 species